GGGCUCGAGAUAAAACGGACCGACACACUCCUCCCUCUAUUCAAUACAUUGAAUUACUCUGCGGGCUGAAAGUGCCACUGCUCACAAAAGACGAGGAUGUACGCGUUACUUAUCCAAGGGACCAGUAUCAAAGAGGACAGAGAAACUAAGUACGUGAGACGAGACUUAUUUUAGAUGAGCUGAAGCCUUGAAAACCGUCCGCGCUCACCGGCUCUUUUCUCCUUUGUUAUCGGUGUAAAACUUUGGCUCGGUCAGCAUUUACGGACGGGCCACCCAACCCUCACUCUUUACCUUUGAUACGGGUUAACCCCGUUUGACUGCCGAUGAACAGUUAAUCGUUGGAAGUGGAGAAGACAAUAUUCGACAUUACCGUUGGACCGCAAAAGUCAACCUCAAAUCAAAGAAAAGUGGAGACAGCCCCCAGACAGGUUACUUCAGAGUCAGUGGGAUGUUCGAGCGCUGGAAGGAAGACUGACUAAAGGAGCAUGGUGAAACACCAACCCCUCCAGGUCUAUGAGCGCCAGUUGUGUUUGUCAUGUAUCACUGGGAUCUACGGUUGCCGGUGGAAACGCUAUCAGCGUUCCCAUGAUGAUACCACCAAGUGGGAGCUGCUGUGGUCCCUCAUCCUCCUCUUUACCUUCUGUCUGCUGCUGGUCUGGUUCUACUUCUGGUGGGAGGCACAUAACGACUACAAUGAGUUCAACUGGUUCCUCUACAACCGCUCUGGGGAGUGGAGUGAUGGCACUGUUCCCAUCCUGGCCACCACUGCUGCUGGCUUCACCUAUAUUGCAUUUUUAAUGGUUUUAGCACUUUGCCACAUUGCACUAGGGCAACAGUUGAAUUUGCACUGGCUCCAUAAGAUAGGAGUGACCGCUGCUCUUCUCACCACCAUUGUUGGCGUUAUAUCUGUCAAUCAAACAUGGGGCCAGGAGUGGGACGUCAUCCCCAUCUCCCUACAGGCCACGGGGCCAUUCCUGCACAUCGGGGCCCUCGCUGCAGUUACAGCACUGUCUUGGAUUGUAGCUGGACAGGUUGCCCGCUCAGAAAAAACAAUGUUUCAGAUGGUGGUCAUGCUGCUAUAUCUCACUGUGUUACUGGGACUCUACGUAGUUCCCCUCUACAUUACCUCCCCAUGCAUAAUGGACCCCAGCUCCCUCAAACCACGUCCUGAUGUCAUCGGCCACCAGGGCGCCCCCAUGCUUGCUCCUGAGAACACGCUGUGGUCUUUCCAGCGAGCUCUACAGAUGAACGUCACUGGAUUCGAGGCUGAUGUCACCAUCAGUGAGGAUGGAGUUCCUUUCCUGAUGCGUGACCGCACUCUGCAGAGGACCACAGACGUCCUGAAGGUUUUCCCAGACAGACAGAUGAUUGAUGCUUCUUUCUUUAACUGGACAGAUCUGCAGCAACUCAACGCAGGACAGUGGUUCCUCAAGGGUGACCCCUUCUGGACUGUGCAUAUGCUGUCCCCCCGAGAAAAGGAUCUGAUUGCCAACCAGAGUGUGUGCAGCCUGGAGCGGCUUCUGAAACUAGCUUCCUAUCACAACACCACAGUGGUGUUCAAGCUGAAGAGACCUCCUCCAGAGCACCCCUGCUAUCUCAGCUGGAUCAAUGAUACACUGCAGGCUGUGCAGCAAUCUGGCAUUCCUCAGAGCCUGGUGAUGUGGACUCCAGAUGAAGACAGAGCAAUGGUGAAACGGCAAGAGCCUGGUCUGAUCCAGACUUCACUAGAGAAGCUGAGUCCUCAAAGUCUUGAUCAGUCUGGCAUCAGCAGGCUGCUGCUCAGAUACAACCAGGCUAACACACAGGAAAUCAGAAACUACUCCCAGAGCAAUAUCAACCUCACACUUUACACCAUCAACGAGCCUUGGCUCUACUCGGUUCUCUGGUGCAGCGGGGUGUCUUCAGUCUCCUCAGAGGCCCCUCAAAUCCUGAAAAAGGUGCCUUACCCAAUCUGGCUCAUGAGACCAGAUGAAUACUGCCUGAUGUGGGUGUCUGCUGACCUCAUCUCUUUUGCUGUUGUCAUUGGAAUAUUCUUUUUCCAGAAGUAUCGUAUGAGUGGUAUGCGUAGUUACAACCCUGAGCAGAUCAUGCUGAGUGCUGCAGUCAGGAGGUCCAGCAGAGACCUCAAUGUGAUGAAGGAGAAACUCAUCUUCUCUGGUCAACCUCAGUAGCAGCCUUUGUGAUGUACACCACCUCCUGUCCAUGCUACCACCAGUGUGACUUCUUCCUAUAUUUCAUUCAUCCAUUGCAUCCCUCGUUGCCUGCCACUCCUCUUUCUUCUGUGCCCCUUCUCCCCUUCAUCCAUUCAUCAUCCCUUCAUGCACCAAACCUCCCCCAUAAUUCUCCUGCUGGAAACACCAUCAUGUGUAGGGGAGCUUGUAGACGCCCCAAUCUGUCUAGACAGCCUGUAGUGCUGAGGGGCAAAGAGGUGGGGAAUGGAGUUGGCAGUGGUGAGGAGCUGUAUGCAGACAAUGGCUACGACUACUACACCAAUCAGGGCAUAAGCCAGUGAUUGGGACUCAUCUUUGUGAAGCUGUGACUGAGAUGACCACACCUGGUGUUCACGUUGUGAUGUUUCAGUCAGUUUGAGGUCCGUCCUCCUCUGUCCUGCUGAUGAACUGACAGAUCGCUCUACCUGACGGUGAAAAAAUCCUCCUGGUUACUUCAUGUACACGCUGUAAAUAGUUUUAUUUUUGCUUGUCAAAUAUACUGUAUAACACAUGGGAAUAAAUGCACUUCUUAUGAAUAGGACUCGCCAAAUCUGUGGCCUCCUCUCUCACAUGUAAAUGUCUGAGAGGUACCUUCGAGUUACCAUUGCCUGCUCCUUUUUAAUGAUAUGUUUUUGCAUUAUUUUGAGCUCAUUCUCCAAAGUUUUUCCUUGGUUUUAACCAGUCUACAUAAUAUUUUUAUCUUUAAAGAUCCAUAUAUUUAAAGAGGCUCUUUAAAAGCAUUUAUUGCUAAAGGAAACUAUUACAAUAACAGCUUUUUAUGCUUUUGCCUUCUGUCGACACUCAGCUGUGCUGUUGUUCACUUAAGUAUUGAUUUUAAUAUUUAUAUAUAAGAGAAAACUUUCAAAUCAAUCAGUUUACAGAAGCUCUGCCUUUUACUCCUAGUGAAAUAUUCACAUGGUGCAUGUAAGAUUAUUUACUAUUUUUAUAGAGGCUGAACAUCCCCAUUUCCCUACUUUUGAGCUAAUAUACACUCAGCAGCCACUUUAUUAGGUACACCUGUUCAACUGCUUAUGAACACAAAUAUCUCAUCAGCCAAUAGCAUGGCAGCAACCAAAGCUUUUAUGCAUAUAAGUAUGGUCAAGGUGAUUUACUGAAGCUAAAUCGAGCAUCAGAAUGGGUAAAAAAGGUGAUUUAAUGAGUUUGAAAAUGCCGUGGUUGUUGGUGUUUGAUGAACUGAUUAUCUAUUCUGAUUUUCAACCAAAAUAGUCUCUAGAGUUUACAGAGAAUAGUGAAAAAACAACACAAAAUAUCGAGUGAGUUGCACUUCUCUGAGCCAUAAUGGCUUGUUGAGAAUGGCCAGACUGGUUUUAGCUAAGAAAAAGCCAAAUACUGGCUAUUUUUGUUUGUUCGUUUACAACCAAGAUAUGCAGAAGAGCGUCUACAGCUGCAAAAAACAACACCAGGUGUCAUUCCUGUCAGCUAAGAACAGGAAACUGAGGCUACGAUUCACAUACACUCACCAAAUUGGACAAUAGAAGAAGGUAAAAAUGUUGCAUGCUCUGAUGAGUCUCAAAUUCUGUUGCGACAUUCAAAUGUUCUGGUCAGAAUUAGCAGAAAAAUGCCACAACUACCAACAACAAUUGCAUGUUGAAAUUCUCUCAAAUCAGUGGUUUUACAUGGGUGGGUCGAGACCCAGAAAGGGUUGUUAAGCUUUCUUUUUAAAAGUCUGUCAGGAAUGCAUGCAUGGCAAAAAUUCGGCCAAAAAGUCCAUUAUCCCCAAAUUUACAUUCAUUUUUUAAAGUUUUCCUGUGAUGACGAGUAAAUUUUGGUCUUUUCUCAAGAUUUUAACUCAUAUAUCUCUUUCCCCCCAAUAACAAAGCAGGUUUUCCCAAGAUAAUACAGAAAGAAAUCACCAAAUUUCCACACUGUCUUUGGAGUAAAUGGAGUAAAAUGAAAUGUAUGCAUGCAUGAUGUGCUCCAGUAGGUCUCAUGAGGAGAAUCUCUUUCUUUAAUCACUUUUCUUUCCCAUUCUGAUGCUACUUUUAAGGUUCAGCUCAUCACAAUGACCAUGUCUGCAUGCCUUAAUGCAUUGGUAACUAUCAUGCAGUUGGCUGAUACGCAUCAAUAGUGGCUGAGCAGGUGUACCUAAUAAAGUGGCCAGUGAGUGUAUAACACUAAUGAUGAUAUCAGUGUAUGUUUUUGUGCGAGCUGUGCUCCCAGUGAAACCAGAAGAACUGGUGAAAAUGUUUUUAGGGAGGGACUUAAGUGCUGUCUCUCUCUUAAAUGUGAGUGUUUGAUUGUUGGUCUGUUUUUUAAGGAUGUGUAUAUUGUAUUGUGUGUUCUCAGCUGGUGUAUAUUUUUAACCUUGUGUGCAGUGCUAUGCUGGGUGUUGUUGUACAUUAAAGGAGAACCAACAUGAGAGAUUUUAACCAACUAAGCAUUACAGUUAAACAAUGUGAUAGUAAUAGCAACAGUAAGGUCAAGAUGGAAGUAAUUUAUCAGCAUAGUCGGCCUCUGAACUGCAGUUAUUCUGUGGUCUAUUAGUGUUAACAUGCACGAUGCAUCUAUGUGUUGGUAACUGGUGUAAAUCUGAUUGCUGUAAAGCAGGGGUGUCCAAACUACAGCCUGGGGGCUAGCUGCAGUCUGGGGUCUAUUUUAGCAAAUUCUAUAGUGACGUUAGAACACAAAGCCCUCAGUUUUGACAUUAGGUGCUGCUGCUGUGUUCAUUUUAUAAAUAAACAAUUUGAAAUGAGGCUGUUGAUGUUUUUCAUGACUAACCUUAGACAAAUGUAAAUGGUAAAAAUUGGCAACCAAAAUAAUAUCUUUAUUCACAACGCCCUGAAUCAAGACAAAUCUGCUCAUUUGUCUUGCUGUCCUUUGUCUCAAUGUUGACUACAUUUUUUCCGUGAGGAAGACUAAACUAAGACUAGCUGAAAAUAGAUCUUUGGUGAUUAAAACUCUGGCAGAAAGUAGGUUUAGUUUUUGUCAAAGAGACUAAAAUGUUAGAGCUGGUCUUUUGGACAUUCAAAUCCACACGUCUCCACUGUGCAUACAAAGUAUGCCAGUAUUUUUGUCAGUGUUUGGUAAAACAUUAUUGACUGCUCUACAUUUAAUAUUGACUUUAUAGCAUGGCUUAUUCAAUUGGUUCAGAGAUAAAUGCUUUCUAAGGACUUUUAGUUGAAUAAAAAGGGAUUCAAAUGUUCAAGUUUUUGCCAACUAAAACUAGAGUAGAGCUAUAAAGGUUAAAAUGACUAAAAUGUGUCUAAAAGACAUUUUAUUGUUAAGACCAAGUUUAUAAAAGCUGCCAGCUGUGAUGUGAGCUUUUCAGUCACUACACAUUUCUUAACCUGCAUCGCUUUGACUAACUUUAAUUCUAAAGAUAAGGUUUAUCAGACAGUGGCUGUGUCAUCCUGAUAUUUUUCUCCAUGUGGCCCUCAAUGGAAAAGUUUGGACAUCCUUGCUGUAAGGGAACUGAAGUGGGUGCUAAAUGUGAAAAUAAAGCUCUUAGCUUAUUGAAGGGACGCUACAGGUAUCACAACAGGCAGCACGUGUUCAUGAAACUGAUUGCCUUUUGUGUUUUUUUUCUUAUGGUAUUACUGUGCCUCAGAAGUAACCAUUAAAAAAAUCCUCUCA